ensembl:lncRNA
UUCACAUUGGCUCUGCUCUUCUCGGAACCUGCUGCGUUUUAAUCCGCCGCGAUGAGCUUUUAUUUUCUGGACAUUUCAAUAACGUGAGCGGAGUUUUACACGUGGACAGACUGAGUUCUUCACUCCGGAGCAGGAUGAGAGCGGCAGAUUAUCGACGCUUUGUUCUGUACACAGAAUGUCUCGAUGCAUUAAUGCGUGUCGUUUAUAAAUUAUAAUGUUGCGAGCGAUUCUUCGACUGUAAUCGCAAGGUGAGAAACAUCGCUUUCAUGCAGUGACGUCACGCCGGACGGGCCUAUUGUUAUUAAUCUUUGUUCUGGAUUUGGACCUCGUUUUGGUUUUGUUAUUCUCAAAUGAUUUGCAAUGCUUAAUUUAUUUUUUUUAUUUUUUUUAAAUGAGAUAUUUAAUUUACAGUAGAGACCGGGGUUAGUUGUCACGUGCUGUAAUUUUAUGUCAACUACAUACAAUUCUUUAGGCCAAAACUGGUUUGGUAUAUAAUUACAUUAUUCAUAUAUUUAAAUAACAUAUAAUGACCUCAUAUACUGGAAAUUAUAUCAUGAGAAUUAUGCUCUGAAAUACAUAGUGUGACAACUAGCCCCUGUCUCCCUCACAUGAAUGCACUUUAUUGUGUGACAGUCACUGGUCCGUACAUUAAUACUGCUGGUGUUUCAUUGCUCUUUCUCCAAAGUUACUGUUUAUGAGGAACCAUACAUGCUCAAAGUGUGCAAAAGCAUUUGAAGUCUGAGAAUAAGGUGAGCUGUACAUUUUUCCUUUGAAUAGAUUCUACAGAAGAUGCACUAAUCUGUGACUCUUUUCUCAUGUGCUCAUCGUUUAAUUGUGUUUCAUCCUCAGGUCAGCAUGACCCUGGCGUUGACCCCUGCGGCCGUGUGCCAGUGCUUCACGCUCGUGUCGCUGUGCACGUCUAUAGCGGAUCCCAACUGGAUCCAGGUCCAGAACUGCUCCGAUUCGAACAGCAAUCUCAUCUACGGUGUGGCCUUCACUCUGCACGCGUAUCAGAAUCUCACAGACACAGGUCCGUUGGGUGGGCUGCACGGAUGGGGGAUGUGGCUGCUGUACUCUCUAGUGGCUCUCUGCUACAGCGCCGUCCUGUUUUCCAGUUCCUCUUUCCUGCUGGAUUUCCUCACAGCAGCUGUCACUCACUCAAAGCUGAUCACGUUACUGCACGUCUCUACAGCGUUCUUCUGCGUGGCGGUUGUGGGUGUGUGUGCGGCCUGCAUGAGUGUGAUUGAACACAACCUGCAGCGAGGGAAGACUGAAAGCCGCCCGGCGCUCUGCAUGUCUGCAGGAGAAAGCUUUUACAUCGAGAUCGUGGGCCUGCUCUUCUCCUUAAUAGCGUGCACUUUGGCCCUCAAGGGUCGUCCUGAACCCAUCAGGCCCUGUGACUACCUGAGCGUGGAAGGAGUGGACAGUGACACGGAGCCUUUGAUUGGUGGAGCUGCGAGGCAGGAGUAAACAGACAGAGUUAUGCUCUUUAUUUUAAUGGCAGAACAUCGAGAGCAAUGCUGAACAAGAGCUGCUGUGAGAUCAGGUGAUCUCAGGAGCGUGUACAGAAUUUAAGAAUCGGCUCCUUCCGGUUCAUGAGUGUGAAUUUGAAUUGAAUUGAUCACAGCAUACAGGAUCUCAGAAGUUAUGAACAGUAACAUUAAUAGAACGUUAGUUCAAAGUGAUUUAGUCUUUAAUAACGUUCUCAAAACAUUAGCGCAGAAACAUUAUUCAUACAUCAUUUACUGAAAUGUUUGCCUUGGACAUUCAGCCAACGUUUUUUAAAUGUUGCCGCUUGUUUCAGAACAUUCCGAGAACAUUCAAAAGUAACACUCUUUGCAAAAAUGAUUAAAAUGGAAUGUUACAAAAUGACUUCAAAAGUUUAAAAACUGGGCAUUUGAAAUGUUCAGAAAGAACGUUUUCAUAACUUAAUUGAAACGUUAGCGAAAUGUUGGCUGGGAUGUAGAAUUGACAGGAUUUAAUUAUUUAAUUAAAUUACAAUUCAAAGAAAUUCAACAAUCACACAAAAGUGAAAACAAGGGUUUCGAUAAAAUAUUAAUUAUGUCAUUAAUUUGGACUACUUUAGGUGCUAAUAUGUAGAGCACAUUUUUUUCUAAAUUGACUUGACAUUUUUCUCUAAUAUUUGGCUCUAUUUUUAGCCUCAGGUAAACUGGAGCAUUCUGGGAAAUGAAGUCUUCUACUGUAAUGAUUAAAUUAAUCAAAUUUUACUUCACAUGAGUAAUGAAUUAAAUAAAGACAUUUUUAAGUGUGACGUAAGUAACACAGCUGCUGUAUAUGAAUUAAAUACAGAUUCUAAAAAUAUUAGUAGCAUCAUCUAAUGUUUCUUAAAAUGUUGUGUGAUGAGAACAUGUUUUUGGGUAAUUUGGGUAAUGAAUUUCAUUCUAUUCUAAUUCUACUUAAUUGGCAAUUCUGAUUCCUGUUUGCUAAUUCAAUUCAAAUUCAGUUCAUGUUCUAUAUUCACCUCACUGAUGCUGCGGCAGGAGCACAAAUACACACUGAUGCUGCCUUCAAGUCCUGCUGGAUUAUAUUCAUGAGUUCAGAAAACACAUUGAUGAAAUAAUGAGCAAAGUGCAUUUGGUCAGAAUAAAAUAAAAGUGUUGGGCAGCUUCAUAUUUCUCUCUAUUUUGCACUUACAGACAAACACGGGAGGCAUUUUGUUGCACAAAUGCAGAAUAAUGAAGAGCGAAGGAUGAACUUUAGGAGCGCCUCUAUCUGUGUGUUUCAUUCUACUGCAGAGAAUUAUGGGAAAUGUAGUCUUUCUGUAAAUAAGAUCAUUCCAGCAUGACUUGAAGGCAGCAUGAGAUCCUUCAGUUACCUGUGGUGAAACUCAUACAUGAGCGUAUUCUGUGCAGGUUUUUUCUGCUAUUGGACCAAAUACAUAAACCACUGAAGGCACACUUGGUUUGAUUCAGGGUUUUGAGAGCUCUUGUGCUCAAUUAUAAAAACAAGUGCUCCAUUUAAACCGUCCCAACAUAUUUUAAUGCAUAAUCUUUAUUAUUCAAUUUAUACGUAAAUAAGAAGAAUUCAUAUAGUACUUAAUAUAAUCCACUACAUUGUGAACAGAAAGUGGACUGAGACCCGAUCAACAUUCAGAUCGACUAAACUGUGAUCGGAGCCCACUUUCUAGUCCACACACAGUGUGAAUGCAAACAGAACUGAAUUCUUUUUCACUUCACUUUUGACUCGAGUGUGAAAACUAACAUAUUCAGGGCUGUAGUUGUUUUCUUGGCGAUCACUGAUGUGAUUUCUGUAGAGAAACUAGUAAACAAAUCAAACAGCAAUCCUCAACGUGCCUUGAGCUUCCUGGAAGAAAGAGCUGUUAAAUCACCAGCUCCUCCGUCAAACAUCAACAAACAACACACUUUAUUUAUUAGUCACUUCCUGUCAUGUCACAGUGUCAGCUAGCUUUGAUUAAGAUGAGGUCAACCUUUCAGUUUUCUGUUUUGUUUUUCUGUUCAUAUUGUAUUUGUAUUCCCUCUUUUAACCUGAAUGAUAUUGCACCAUUUAUUUGAUAUUCUAGUAUUUUACUGGAAUUAGGAUGUCGUUCAAACCCAAAACGACAGUUCUGUCAUCAUUUACUCAACCUCAUGUUGUUCAAACCGGUAUGACUUCCUUUCUUCUCAUUGACAGGAAGAUUAUUAGUGAAUAAUGACUUAAAUGUGGUUCUGUUCCACAGUAAUUACAGUUAACUGAGACUGAAAGUAAGACUUAAAAAAAACAUUCUGUUACUUGAAAUACUGUUACAUUUCCAAAACCUUUCAGAAAAUUUCCAAAUAAUCCCAGCACGUUUUCAAAAUGUCCAAAGUUUCGGAAAUGUUCCGCCUUUUUGCAACCCUACUUGAAAUAAAAUAAUCAUUAACUGAAAUAUAAUAAAAUAUAAAAAAUAAUAAUAAGCUUAUUUAAUUUCAGUUAGUUUCCACAUCAUCUUUUCUUGUUUUCGUUCCUAUUCUCUGAAAUAAAAAUAUAAUAUAUAAUAAAUCAUUAAAACUGAAUAGACAUUAAAAAACAAACAUUAAAAUUGCUAAAACUUGAAAAUUAAAGUGAAAACGGAAAAUAUACAAAUUAAAUCUCAUUCAAAAUAUUAACAAAAACUAGUAUAGUGAUACUAAAAUAACACUAUUCAGAUUUUCAUACUAAAUGUCUUAUAACUUCAGAAGACUUAAUAUAACACAAAACAUAUGUACUAUUGUUUAUGAAUGUUUAAAUUAAUGUUUGGACAAUGUCUUGGUCCUUUUCGGAGCUUGAAAGUCAUACAGGUUUGAGCAGCAUGAGUAAAUCUCAUUCAUAUGCAUCUAUAAUGAAUAUCACUGCAUGUUUCACUGUAAUAUUUCAUUUGUCCUGUAAAGAAUAUAAUAACAGAGACAUGUCAAACACUGUGAGGCUAUAGGAUACUAGGACUGAGUCUGAAGAGGAUUAAUACAGUCUGUGUUUACGUUUAUGUAUUUGUGUGAAGCCAUUUUUAAUCACAUGUAUUAUAAAAAAUGAGUUUCUGUUCUAAAGUUGAUGUAUCAUAACACUCCUCAAUGAUCUGGACUGAUAUAGACAUACACAGAUCUUGUUGAAAAUGCAUCUCUGGAUGACAGCAGUGGAAUCAUGGGAAGCGGAGCUCUGCUGUGCCUUAAUUUCUCAGCUCUCUCUCUAAUUACACUCCAUCCGUCACAUGACACCAGCUUGUGCUCCAGUUGGACGGAGACCAUCGCCAUAGUAACCUUGAGAAGUUGUUGCUGUCACCGACCGAGUUGUGAAUGGAGAGAGAGAGAAAACAGAGCGAGAUAUGAGAUGUUAAACAUUUGAUGGUUUCAGUAUAACGGGACGUUUUUCGGUUGUCUUCAGUCUAGUAUUUGUGAGUGUGAGUUGUGCAUAUUAAACACUAAACCAUAUCUUGUGCUGUAGAAGCGUGUUCAGAGAGAGAAAUGAUGUGAAACUCAUAAGUCUGUGGAUCUUUAGUACUGAUAUUUACACUGACAGGACUGUGUUGUGUGGAAACGUGCUGCUUCUGUGACUGAACAAGCAUUGAUCCUCUCAAAUGUUUCUUGUGAGUUUGUUUUUAAAACUGUGCAUGCAUAUAUCAUGAACAUUCAUUCUGAUGCUGUUUAUGCCUGUUGAAUUUAAGUUUACUGUUGCAAAAGACUUAUUUGAAUGUUUAAAUGAAGAUAAGUUACAAC